GCCUUGUUAGUGAAGUGGUAUCACGCCAAACUUCUACUUUGGUAUCGUGAGUUCGAUUCUCACACAAGGCA
rnacentral:tRNA from 1 species